ACUCAAAGGAAUAGACGGGGGCCCGCACAAGCGGUGGAGCAUGUGGUUUAAUUCGAAGCAACGCGAAGAACCUUACCAAGGCUUGACAUGGAAGCGGCCGGCAUAGAAAUAUGCCCUCCCCUCGGGGCGCUUCACACAGGUGGUGCAUGGUUGUCGUCAGCUCGUGUCGUGAGAUGUUGGGUUAAGUCCCGCAACGAGCGCAACCCUUAUGUUCAGUAGCCAGCACGUUAUGGUGGGCACACUGGAGAGACUGCCGUGGAUAACACGGAGGAAGGCGGGGACGACGUCAAAUCAUCAUGCCCCUUAUGUCUUGGGCGACACACGUGCUACAAUGGCCGCUACAAAGUGACGCAAACCGGCGACGGGGAGCAAACCACAAAAAGGCGGCCUCAGUUCGGAUUGUAGCCUGCAACCCGGCUGCAUGAAGUUGGAAUCGCUAGUAAUCGCGAAUCAGCAUGUCGCGGUGAAUACGUUCCCGGGCCUUGUACACACCGCCCGU
rnacentral:rRNA from 1 species